rnacentral:rRNA from 1 species
GAGUGUGAUCAUACCACACUGAAUGUGACCGAUCUAGUCUGAUCUCGGAAGCCAAGUAGGGUCAGGCCUGGUUAGUACUUGGAUGGGAGACCACUAGGGAAUACUGGGUGCUGCAGAUA